UACGGGGGGGGUAAGCGUUGUUCGGAAUUACUGGCGUAAAGGGCUCGUAGGCGGCCAACUAAGUCAUACGUGAAAUCCCUCAGCUUAACUGGGGAACUGCGUGUGAUACUGGAUAGCUUGGAGUGCGGCAGAGGGAGGUGGAAUUCCACGUGUAGCAGUGAAAUGCGUAGAGAUGUGGAGGAACACCGAUGGCGAAGGCAGCCUCCUGGGCCAGCACUGACGCUCAUGCACGAAAGCGUGGGGAGCAAACAGG
rnacentral:rRNA from 1 species